UACGAAGGGGGCUAGCGUUGUUCGGAAUUACUGGGCGUAAAGCGUAUGCAGGCGGAUCGUUAAGUCGGGGUGAAAUCCCGAGGCUCAACCUCGGAACUGCCUUCGAUACUGGCGACCUUCGAGUCCGGGAGAGGUGAGUGGAACUCCGAGUGUAGAGGUGAAAUUCGUAGAUAUUCGGAAGAACACCAGUGGCGAAGGCGGCUCACUGGCCCGGUACUGACGCUGAGGAUACGAAAGCGUGGGGAGCAAACAGG
rnacentral:rRNA from 1 species